rnacentral:rRNA from 1 species
AGCAGCCGCGGUAAUUCCAGCUCCAAUAGCGUAUAUUAAAGUUGUUGCAGUUAAAAAGCUCGUAGUUGAAUUUCGGGAUCAAAUUGUCGGUCGUGCCUCGGUACGUACUGGUAUUAUUGGUUCCUCCCUUCUGACGAACCACGAUGUCAUUAAUUUGGUGUCAUGGGAAAUCAGGACUGUUACUUUGAAAAAAUUAGAGUGUUUAAAGCAGGCUCGCGCUUGAAUACAUUAGCAUGGAAUAAUGAAAUAGGACGUUUGAUUCUAUUUUGUUGGUUUCUAGGAUCGACGUAAUGAUUAAUAGGGAUAGUUGGGGGCAUUAGUAUUCAAUUGUCAGAGGUGAAAUUCUUGGAUUUAUUGAAGACUAACUACUGCGAAAGCAUUUGCCAAGGAUGUUUUUCAUUAAUCAAGAACGAAAGUUAGGGGAUCGAAGACGAUCAGAUACCGUCGUAGUCUUAACCAUAAACUAUGCCGACUAGGGAUCGGAUGAUGUUAAUUUUUUUAAUGACUCAUUCGGCGCCUU